rnacentral:lncRNA from 1 species
CUUGGGUCCCCUUCCAUGUUGUGGAAGCUUUGUUCUUUCACUCUUCACAAUAAAUCUUGCUGCUGCUCACUCUUUGGCUCUGCACCACCUUUAUGAGCUAUAACACUCACCACGAAGGUCUGCAGCUUCACUCCUGAGGCCAGCAAGACCACAAACUCACCGGAAGGAACAAACAACCCCAAACGCACCGCCUUUAAGAGCUGUAACACUCACCGCAAAGGUCUGCAGCUUAAUUCCUGAAGUCAGCGAGACCACGAACCCACCAGAAGGAAGAAACUCUGGACACAUCUGAACAUAUGAAGGAACAAACUCUGGACACACCAUCUUUAAGAACUGUAACACUCACUGCGAGGGUCCACGGCUUCAUUCUUGAAGUCAGCGAGACCAAGAACCCAGUAAUUCCGGACACAUUUUGGUGACCACGAAGGGACUAUCGCCUAUCACCAAGCAGUAAGACUAUCACCAAGCAGUGAGACCACUGCCUAUCGCCAAGCGAUGGAAACUUGCUCUGCCGCCCAGGAUGGAGUGCAGUAGUGUGAUCUCGGUUCACUGCAACCUCCACCUCCCGGAUUCAAGCAGUUCUCCUGCCUCAGCCUUCUGAGCGGCUGGGAUUACAG